GUGCCAGCCGCCGCGGUAAUACUGGCAGCUCAAGUGAUGUCCCAUAUUAUUGGGCCUAAAGCGUCCGUAGCUGGCCGACCAAGUCUCCCGGGAAAUCCACCCGCCCAACGGGUGGGCGUCCGGUAGAAACUGGCCGGCUUGGAACCGGAAGGCUCAGAGAGUACGUCCGGGGUAGGAGUGAAAUCCCGAGAUCCUCGACGGACCGCCGGUGGCGAAAGCGCCUCGGGAAGAUGGAUCCGACGGUCAGGGACGAAAGCUUGGGUCUCGAACCGGAUUAGAAACCCGAGUAGUCC
rnacentral:rRNA from 1 species